UUCCAACGUCUAACACACAUCGUUUACGGCAUGGACUACGAGGGUAUCUAAUCCUCUUCGCUACCCAUGCUUUCGUUCCUCAGUGUCAGUAAUGAUCCAGAAAGCUGCCUUCGCAAUUGGUAUUCUUUCUAAUAUCUACGAAUUUCACCUCUACACUAGAAAUUCUGCUUUCCUCUAUCAUACUCUAGCUGAAAAGUUUUGAUGGCAGUUCCAGAGUUAAGCUCUGGGAUUUCACCACCAACUUUUUCAACCACCUACGAACUCUUUAAGCCCAGUAAUUCCGAACUACGCUAGGUCCCUUCGUAUUACCGCGGCUGCUGGCACGAAGUUAGCCGGACCUUCUUAUUCGGGUACAGUCAUUUUCUUCCCCGACGAAAGAGCUUUACAACCCAAAGGCCUUCUUCACUCACGCGGCAUCGCUGCAUCAGAGUUUCCUCCAUUGUGCAAGAUUCCCCACUGCUGCCUCCCGUAGGAGUUUGGGCCGUGUCUCAGUCCCAAUGUGGCUGAUCAUCCUCUCAAAUCAGCUAUUGAUCAUAGUCUUGGUAGGCCAUUACCCUACCAACAAACU
rnacentral:rRNA from 1 species